rnacentral:lncRNA from 1 species
AAAAAUAAAGGAGACCAAAUAUUUUUUGGAUUUUGAUGAGAGUUGAAUUACUAAACUAUUGUAAUGAAAAUAAAAAUAAUUAGCAUUAGGCAAUUAAAUUAAAGCAAAUUAAAAUUAGAUUUAAAAGCAAUUAAAAGGGCAUUGGUCUCAAUUGAUCCAACCAUUCAAUUCAUCCAAGGUUUUCAAUGAGAUUUAUAACUUAAAUUCAACACAACAAUUAAGAGUGCUUGAUUCAGAGGAUUUAACUUUGAAAACUAAUCAUUCUCAAGUAUUUGAAAUUAAAUAUAUGGUCAAUGGGGGAAUCAAAGGUUAAUAUCAUCGAUUUAACUAGGGUUAAUACCAAAUUGAGAGUUUGUGCAUUGAAUUAGCCAAACAUAGUCAAUAAUCUAGUUGUUCUAAGACAUCUUGCAAUCAAUUGAUGUGAAU